AUUGAACGCUGGCGGCAUGCCUUACACAUGCAAGUCGAACGGCAGCGGGCCUUCGGGUGCCGGCGAGUGGCGAACGGGUGAGUAAUGCAUCGGAACGUGCCAUUGAGUGGGGGAUAACGUAGCGAAAGUUACGCUAAUACCGCAUAUUCUGUGAGCAGGAAAGCAGGGGACCGCAAGGCCUUGCGCUCUUUGAGCGGCCGAUGUCAGAUUGGCUAGUUGGUGAGGUAAAGGCUUACCAAGGCGACGAUCUGUAGCGGGUCUGAGAGGAUGAUCCGCCACACUGGAACUGAGACACGGUCCAGACUCCUACGGGAGGCAGCAGUGGGGGAAUUUUGGACAAUGGGCGCAAGCCUGAUCCAGCCAUGCCGCGUGAGUGAAGAAGGCCUCGGUUGUAAG
rnacentral:rRNA from 1 species